AUGAAUCAACUUACUUGUACUUUGAAUAUUGAUCCGGUUUGCAUUGAGAAAUAAGCUUCAAAUGAAAUAGGCUUUCGAUGUGACAGUGUUUACAGGAAACAUUAUGCUGUUACGAACUUCCCUUAGAAUCAACCCAUUUGUGAAACACCACAUUAAUAAGAGCAGUAUCUUUGGAGAUUGGAGAGUCCACCAAGGAUGCCCACUGGCUCCCUACAAAGUUUUUUAUGUGAGGACUCGGUCUCAGGCUCAGAAGUGGAAGAGAUGUGCCUUGACUCAGAUGAGACUUUGGACUUGGACUUUUGAGUUAAUUCUGGAAUGAGUUAAAACUUUAGGGGACUGUUGGGAAGGCAUUAUUGUGUUUUAAAUGUGAAAAGAACAUGAGGUAUGGGAGGGGUCAGGGGUGGAAUGAUAUGGUUUGGCUCUGUGUCCCCACCCAAAUCUCAUGUCAAAUUUUAAUCCCCAGUGUUGGUGGAGGAGCCUAGUGAGAGGUGACUGAAUCACAGGGGCAGACUUCCUCCUUGUUUCUCUUGUGAUAGUGAGUGAGUUCUCAUGAACUCUGGUUGUUGUAAAGUGUGUGGCACCUUUCCCUUCACUCUCUCUCUUCCUCCUGCUCUUGCCGUGAGAAUAAGUGCAUGCUUCCCCUCCUGCCAUGGGAAUAAGUGCAUGCUUCCCCUCCUGCCAUGAGAACAAGUGCAUGCUUCUCCUUUUGCCUUCUACCAUGUUUGAAAGUUUCCUGAAGCCUCUCCAGCCAUGCUCCCUGUGCAGCCUGCAGAACUAUGAGCCAAUUAAACAUGUUUUUGUAUAUAAAUUACCCAAUCUUAAGUAGUUCUUUAUAGCAACACAAGAAUAAACUCAUACAACCCCCAUUAUCAUUCAGCUAAAUAUGGUUGGGUUUUUGGAGCCUCAAGCAUGAAGGUGAACUGGCUAUGGCUAUACCAGCCUGAAAGGAUUGAACUCUCCCCUGGAAUCCCAGAACAAAUUCCUUCAACUGAAAAUGUCUCUCCUGUCUCGAGGAGCAAGUCCCCACAAAUUUAUUUUCUCACUUUCAUCCAAACUCUGAUAAUUCUGGAAAGAAGACCAAAGAUUUGUCAAUAACAGGCACUCUUAGGGCAGUGUCUGUUCCCUGAGCUGAUCAUAGGAGCAUGUUGGGAAAUUUCAUCAAAUGUAAAAUCAAAGCCUUGUAUUAGACUUAGCAAAAGUUAGCCGUUGGCAAAUUGUGAAAUUGGUUAAGUAUGCCUGUGGCACCUUCCCACUUUCAUAAUUAAUUUUUAUGCCCUCCCACUUGGCUCUUAUAACCCUACAAGUACAAAUAAUUGGUCAUUUGUGUGACUUUCUGUUUAUUGCAUGUCUCUAUUUAACUUGCUAUAAUUUGCAUAUGUGUGGAGACUACACUUGUCUUUUUGGCUACUAUAUCCUUCUGUCCCCUAAUAUUGUACCUGAUUAUGGAAUACGCCAAUUUAUUAAAUGAAUAAAGUUUUUUUAAAUAUCUUGACCCCUUUUUGGAACAUUAUAUAGCACAAAAAUAAUUGUUCAGUGACUGUACCUUAACUGAAUGGAUUGUAUGAGUAAUGGAAGUGGUUAAGAUAUGAAUCACUCUGGGAUUGCAUUUCCACAAAACUUUUCCAAGACCUAUCAUAAGAGGGAGGGAAGAGUGAGACCUCCCAAUACACUGUAUAUUUACAAGAACUGCAAAACUUUCAAUGGUAUGUUUCUUUACUUGUAGCAGGCUUUAGGUUUCAACCUGUUCUCUCUAAUGCCUGCCACUGUCUACCUCAUCUCUGUGACUUCUGUCUCCAUGUAGUUGGCUGUGAAAUAGGAUGCAGUUUCUUCUUCUUCCCUUGCUAUUUUUGUUUAAUGGACACAAGUCCCUAUUUAAUCACCUGGAAAAGCUACCAGAAGGGGAAGAAAGCAAGCCACAUUGAGAGUAUACACUACUCUUACUAAUAUAAUCUUAGGCCAUUUGUACUGUUUUUGUUUCUGGGCCAUAUUGUAAACUCUUUGGUAUGGAACAAUAAUAAUCAAAAUUGCUUACAUGUAUUGAGUACAUGUUAUUUAUUAUACUCAUUUGACACUUUAAACUGUUUUGUCAUUUAGUCUCAAAAUGGUUUGGAUUUACAAAUGAGUACACUGAGGCUCAAAAAGGAGUA
rnacentral:lncRNA from 1 species